rnacentral:rRNA from 1 species
GACGAACGCUGGCGGCGUGCUUAACACAUGCCAGUCGAACGAUGAAGCCUAGCUUGCUAGGUGGAUUAGUGGCGAACGGGUGAGUAAUACGUGAGUAACCUACCUUUAACUCUGGGAUAAGCCUGGGAAACUGGGUCUAAUACCGGAUACGACCAAUCUCCGCAUGGGGUGUUGGUGGCAAGCGUUAUGUAGUGGUUAUAGAUGGGCUCACGGCCUAUCAGCUUGUUGGUGAGGUAACGGCUCACCAAGGCGACGACGGGUAGCCGGCCUGAGAGGGUGACCGGCCACACUGGGACUGAGACACGGCCCAGACUCCUACGGGAGGCAGCAGUGGGGAAUAUUGCACAAUGGGCGCAAGCCUGAUGCAGCGACGCCGCGUGAGGGAUGACGGCCUUCGGGUUGUAAACCUCUGUUAGCAGGGAAGAAGAGAAAUUGACGGUACCUGCAGAGAAAGCGCCGGCUAACUACGUG